rnacentral:rRNA from 1 species
AACGAACGCUGGCGGCAUGCCUAACACAUGCAAGUCGAACGAGACCUUCGGGUCUAGUGGCGCACGGGUGCGUAACGCGUGGGAACCUGCCCUUAGGUUCGGAAUAACUCCCCGAAAGGGGUGCUAAUACCGGAUAAUGUCUUCGGACCAAAGAUUUAUCGCCUUUGGAUGGGCCCGCGUUGGAUUAGCUAGUUGGUAGGGUAAAAGCCUACCAAGGCGGCGAUCCAUAGCUGGUCUGAGAGGAUGAUCAGCCACACUGGGACUGAGACACGGCCCAGACUCCUACGGGAGGCAGCAGUGGGGAAUAUUGGACAAUGGGCGAAAGCCUGAUCCAGCAAUGCCGCGUGAGUGAUGAGGGCCUUAGGGUUGUAAAGCUCUUUUACCCGGGAUGAUAAUGACAGUACCGGGAGAAUAAGCUCCGGCUAACUCCGUG